UGACUUAAAAAAAAAAAAAACCCAAAGAACUAAAGGUGAGCGCUUUAGCUGCGACUGAUAAGAAACGGAGGGACUUAAAAGUCUGCGGAGAGAACUUAGGUGGUUGUGGAGAAUCACAUGACUCUCUUCCAGACAUUGGUUGUGAGAUCUUUGGCAGUAAAUACAGACACCCUUCUAGUGAAAGGUCCUCACUUCAGCUGAAGAGAAAGAAGUUGGUUCAUGACUCCUAGGCACACAGGGUGCAUUGACUCAAUUUCAUUUGUUUGACAGCACUUGGAAAUGGAUGCUGAAACUCCAAAUCCCAAUCCUGGUCACCUUUGGUAAGUUCUCUUGGUCAUUUGUAUGGUUGUUAACUUGACUGCCUAUAAUGAAUCAUCUUAUUUAUAGUUUUUUCCUUAAUGCUGUUAUAGUUUCUA